AUUUUCUAGCAUUUCUACUCAUUGGUCUGUGGACACUGUUUCUACAGCUCUUAAAGCAAUGACUUCUGAACUUGAAUGACCAGUAGAACUGGGUGGAUGACUUUAUAAAAACACAGAUUUGCAAGCCCAGUCCAGGUCUAUCAAGUAAGGAUCUUUCUAAGGAGUUAAGCUCAGGCCUGCGACGGUGGAUUAUCCAGCAGGGGCUUUGCCGUGUAAACUCUCUAGAAAGUUGUCAACAGCCUGUUCUUCUUCAGUGGUGAGACUUGGAUGAAUUCAGGAUGUUCUGUUGAUUCCCAAGAGUGAGUGAGUGUGUUUCCAUCACUGAGGAGACAACUCACAGCAACGACUUCUACUGAAGGAAGGAAAGGGUUAGCAUCGAGAAUAUCCCCGUUAAUUAAAGACGAGUGAGCUUGAGAAGUGAGGAAAACCGGAGUCUGGGCUUUAGUCCAUCUUCCCAAGCUUCCAUCUGGCCCUUCUCUUCAUUUCUGACUUGUGAGGCAGUCUGGAUUGACUUAGACUAAUCAUUUCUCUGGGACUCACUGUAUCCAGUACCCUGAAAAGGAAAGUCGCCGUGAUGAAUUCAGAUUUUGAGUCUUUGAAUCUUAGCUCCCUGACCAGGGAUCGAACCAGCAUCUCCUGCAUUAGAAGGCGAAGUUUUAACCUGUGGACCUCCAGGGAAAUCACCAAAGGUCUUUUUCCUUUUCACUGA
rnacentral:lncRNA from 1 species